CCUACGGGCGGCUGCAGUCGAGAAUCAUUCACAAUGGGGGAAACCCUGAUGGUGCGACGCCGCGUGGGGGAAUGAAGGUCUUCGGAUUGUAAACCCCUGUCAUGUGGGAGCAAAUUAAAAAGAUAGUACCACAAGAGGAAGAGACGGCUAACUCUGUGCCAGCAGCCGCGGUAAUACAGAGGUCUCAAGCGUUGUUCGGAAUCACUGGGCGUAAAGCGUGCGUAGGCUGUUUCGUAAGUCGUGUGUGAAAGGCGCGGGCUCAACCCGCGGACGGCACAUGAUACUGCGAGACUAGAGUAAGGGAGGGGGAACCGGAAUUCUCGGUGUAGCAGUGAAAUGCGUAGAUAUCGAGAGGAACACUCGUGGCGAAGGCGGGUUCCUGGACAUUAACUGACGCUGAGGCACGAAGGCCAGGGGAGCGAAAGGGAUUAGAUACCCGGGUAGUC
rnacentral:rRNA from 1 species